ensembl:misc_RNA Y_RNA Y RNA
GGCUGGUCCGAUGGUAGGUGGGUUAUCAGAGCAUAUUAACAUUAGUGUCACUAAAGUUGGUAUACCACCCCCCACUGCUAAAUUUGACUGGCUUUAA